GGGGAUUUAGCUCAGUGGCUUAAGCGUUUGCCUGAUAAGCACAAGGUCUUGAGUUUGAACCCCAGUACUCCCC
rnacentral:tRNA from 1 species